rnacentral:lncRNA from 1 species
ACAGCACUGCAAAAAUGACAACUGACAACGUGGUGACUUCACAAGUACCCUGACCAGGUCUGACUCCACAGACACCCGAGGCAGCUAUUUACAUCACUUUCAAUGACAUUCAAGACAUGUCUACACAGGCUUUUGAUAACAAUGUGGAAGGGUGAGUUGCAAUAUGGAAACAUGACCUAUGUUGUGGAAGAUGUGACUCCUUGCGUAAGGUGCUCUUUAAGCUAUCAGCAAGGUAAAUGGUCCACGCCAACAGGAAGCCGGAAUGUUCACUGACAGAUUCUUAAGAAAUUUUGGAUAAAAGUGCAUGUUAUGUAUGUUACAGAAGAAGGGGAAAGUGGUGGAAAGCCCUAUAUACUUGCACAUUGAGUUGGCGGGAUGAGAAGCGAUGCCCUUACUCAUUCCAUGCUUGGCCCAUGAGCUCCUGGCACUUCCUGCUGUGUCUCAGCAUCUGAGCACUGUGCCUAACAUACGGAGAGGAUUUAAUAAGAAACGGGCUGAUGCAUGGUUGACACUGAGUCAUUAAAUUCUGCCACCUUAUUUGAGACAGCUGUUUACAGGAGAGCGGGGAACAUUUCAUCUCUUCUCAUCUUAAAUCAAGUUAAAGCAAAAGGCCAUGCCGCUUACCUGAUAAGGUUUAGGAGUGUAAUCUAGUGAGAAACACAGGAAAUUUGGAAAUGUGAUAGGUGCCAAGCCUUACACUUCGGCAGCGUUCUGAGAGUAAAGGCACUUAACUGGUAGGCAAGAAUUUCUGACUCAAGUUCAUAUAUACUCUUG